GUCUUCACAUCCAUUUGAUGAAUCACUAAAUUAUGCACAGAUGCUAAAGCUAUCAAGGUCCUUAUGGUGGUAAUCCUAGAAACAGAUUGAAACUCAUCAUUUAUAGCCUCUUUCCAGAAUGGUGCAUCCACAGACAUAACGGCUUCCUUAUAAGUUGUGGGAUCUCCUUCUACUAGAAAGGAACAUGUCGCACAUCCUUGAGAGUUAGAGUCUUCCCAGAUGUCAUCUUCAAUUCCACUUCUCCUAUUCCACGUACUUGUGCGACGGUGUCAUUUCCUAGGGUUACACUUCCUCCACUUGAGUUCUGGUAAUUUUUGAAAAACCGUUUGUCAAAACACACAUGUACGUUUGCCCCAGAAUCUAACCACCAAUCACUAUUACUUAAAUAUGCGACAUUAACUAGAGGCUUAAAACUAUACCUUAGAUUGGGUUCAUCUUGAUCAUCUUGAUCCACCAACACAUUCACUUGGGCUUUAGGACCACUUUGUCCUUUGUUCCACUUAGGCUUGGGCUUGUAGGGCUCGGUCUUCUUGUAAUGACAGUCUUUGGCCCAAUGAUUUGUUCUUCCACAAACGAAGCAUGGUUGAUCCCUAUUGCCAUUGGAAUUGUUAUGGGGUCUAUUAUGCUGGCGAUUUUGGUUUCAGUUGAUUUGAUUAUGGUUGGGUUGGCUA